ensembl:lncRNA
UGUAACGCUUUUACAACAUACAGAAGUGCGCUGGUUAUCAAGGGACAAAGUAUUGACACAUUUUUUUAAAUUGAGAGACGAGAUUAAAGUUCACUGACCAUCAUUUUCACUUGUCUGACCGCUUGCAUGAUGACGAGUUUCUCACACGACUGGCCUAUCUGGGUGAUGUUUUUUUUUCGCCUGAAUGAAUCUAGGAUUACAGGGACUCUCCGCAACUAUAUUCAAUGUGCUGUUGGAUCUAUUCUAAUUUGGAACUAUUCUCUGUCUGCAUUAACACGGACAACACACUGCUCUUUCCAUCAUUGUCUGAUUUUUUUGUGUGCAAAUGAACUCAAGCUUACAGACAAUGCAAAAUGUGAUAUAGCGAAGCACCUGAGUGAGUCGGGUGUGAAAUUCACAGGUACAUUCCCGAAACGGAUGAUUAUCCCUUUCAUGCCCUGCCUCCAGUCCAUUUACCGAUAUCUGAACAAGAGAGCCUCAUCAAAAUUGCAACAAGCGGUUCUGUGAAAAUGUAAUUUAAUCAGAAGCCACUGCCAGAUUUCUCGAUUUGAUUGCGCUCAGAGUAUUUUGCCUUGGCAAAUCGGGCUGUUAAGACACUGAGGCCCUUUGCAACCAUGUACUUAUGUGAGAGUGGAUUCUCGGCCCUCACUAUCAUGAAAACUAAAUACAGGCACAGACUGUGUGUGGAAAAAGACUGAAACUCUCUCCAAUACAACCCAACAUUGCAGAGUUAUGUGCAUCCUUUCAAGCACACCCUUCUCAUUAACCUGUGGUGAGUUAUUCACAAUUUCGAUAAACAAAUAAAGUUUUAUAUGUAAGAUGGUUAAAUAAAGAGCAAAAUGAUUGAUUAUUAUUAUUUUUUAUUUUUUUGUGCCCUGGUCCAAUAAGAGCUCUUUGUCACUUCCCACGAGCCGGGUUGUGACAAAAACUCACACUCAUUCUUAUGCUUAAUAAAUGUAUCGUAUAGUGUGUGUGGCAGGCUUACAAUGAUGGCAAAAAACAACAUUUGAGAGUGCGCUGACCCUGGUGCUAGAGGGGGUACAUAGCUGGAGGUUGAAUGUUUGAAGGGGUUCAGGACUAUAAAAAGUUUGGGAACCACUGGGAUAGUAUAAUACACAACUUGCAACUUUGAAAUGUGUUCUGACAGUCACUCAAUUAGCUCAUGUCAGAUAGCAUUUUAUAGAUUGCUCGGUAAAUUAGUCUUUUCAGCUAUCUAAACCUUUUUAUUGACCAGACACAAAGUAUUGACCAGGCAUGCAAGGCACGUGCCCAGGGUUCCUGACCUCCAGGGGGCCCCCAUUGAUUUAGUUUGUCCUUCUCACUCAGAUAUCAUAUGAACAUGGCAUAAGUCAUGGCAAAAUGUCAAACAUUUCAGGAGAUUAGCUUUAAAACUGCAACAUGUUCUCUCCAUCCCAUGGCAAAAUGUGUAGAACUGUAGGAAAUCAGCUUUAAAGCUGCACAUUUUUCUUUCUGCUGCUGCUAAAAAAUAAAAAAUAAAUGUAAAAAUCCCCUGGCCCUGAUGAACUGGACCCCCGCCUCCUACACCUAGCCGCAGACAUCAUUGCUCCCCCAUAACAUGUAUUUUUAACCUCACGCUCGAUGUUAAGGAAAUCCCCAAGUUAUGGAAAUCUGCUUUUGUACUGCCUCUCCUGAAAGGUGGAGAUCCUUCGCUACUUGACAACUAUCGACCCCUAUCAAAAUUGUCUGUACUGUCAAAGGUACUGGAGUCCUUAGUUAGUAGGCAGCUAAAUGUCUACUUCCAAGAAAACAGCAUCUUAGAUGGAAUGCAAUUAGGUUUUAGGUCUGGCCACAGCACUGUUUCAGCAACAUUGAAGGUUUUAAAUGACAUCCACUGUGCUCUUGAUAAGAAGUUACAUUGUGUGUCUGUUUUUAUUGAUUUGUCAAGGCUUUUGACACCGUGGACCAUGCUGUGUUAGUGCAAAGGUGGUGGAAAUACUGGUCAUGCUGUCACGAUCGUCAUGGGAAGUAGACCAAGGUGCAGCGUGUGUGCAGCAGACUUUCCAGCCUCAUUGAAACUAGGACAGACAGAAUUGAAAGCUCAGGAGAAACCAAGCCUCCAAACAAAACAGGUGACCUUCGCAAAUCUCCCAAGAAGAAAGAGUUGCUAAAGAGAGUUUGGAGGACUGCGAAACGAGUUAUCUGUGGCUGCUGUAGACAUGCCAGGAGCCAGGAGCCAGGACUAAAAUACAUAGUCAUUGUUGGCCUCGUUCGACACUUUGUAAAACAGACAAAUCAAGUCUUUUUCAUGCUUGAAUCUCUAUUUUGUCAUUUAAAGCAUUGUUGACAUGAUUACAUUCUUUAGUCAUUACAUUUUACAGGGUUGUUUUCUAAUUUUCUAACUGUGAAUUUGUGUGUAAAGAAUAUUCUAUUACAUCAGUGGAAACCCCUCAUAGAGUUACAGAAUCAGUACUUCACAUCACAAUUGGUAAAUAAUUACUUGAAAAAAGAUUUGCCCUAGUUGUUUUUAAUUCUAACGCAGAAAGUGUAUUAAAGGGAUUGGUACACAUCUAUUGUAAUCUACUUUAACCAUUAAAAGGGGGUGGCAACAGAUCUCGCCUCAUUAAAAAUCAAUGGCUCUGUCAGUGUGGUCUGCAAUGGGUCCCAUUAAGAGAGUGUAUGACUUCACAUUAGCACAUAGAAGACCCCAGAGAACACAGUUAUGGGAGCAACCAUAAAACAGCAUUUAUAUAAUAUAUUCUAAUCUAAGCCAAAAGUGUAGCCUAAAAAGUAUAGCUCAUUAAUUAAUAAAGUAUGUCAUGUCAGUGGUUGCUCAAUCAAUUUCUAUUCAUGCCUAUAGGCCUACAUUCCCUACCUGUAAACGAUGGCAAUGGG